UUCCAACUAGAACUUUGAUUUGCUAAUUUCACAUUGUAUCAACUUAAUUAGGAACUCCUCCUGACCUUUAAAAACUACAGUGUAAUCUUCAAUUUAUGUGCACCAAAUCUAAUUUCAUUUUCCCUUCUGGUGAGAACUAGCUGUCUUCCUUGAGUGUUCAGUCUGAAUCAGUAGGUGACAGCUGUGACAAGUUUCCUGCUCCUGCCUGAUGUUUGGCUAAUGUGCUCUCCUCCCACCAGGAGGUCACUAUGAUCACCAAGGUCAGCUCCCACUGAAGACAGAUAAGACAACACACAAUGUGAUAUACACCUCAAUAGGGAUACUCUGCUUCUCCUCUGAUCUUGGAACGAAUGUAAAACUAACCAGAAGUUCACUGUAAGCAGAAAUCAGAGCUAACUGAGAAGACAACCUGAAGGGAAAAGUCAGAUCACAG